GAAAUCAAUGUUAGUGUAUUUUAAAUGAACUCCUAAAUUAUCUCACCUUCAGUCAUAGUGGAUUAACUCCAGAAUGAUUCCUAAAAAUUAUGGUGGUUUUAAAUGCUUAGUGGGUACAGCAUUAUAUAUCCUACUACCAGUGGGAGGUGAAAUAAUAAAAGAAAAUGCUAGAAAAAAAACAAUAACAUUUUUUCUGUUAGAUUCCACUUAAAGACCUCUAGAUAUACCUCCAGAGAGCUACUGAUGAAAAUAUCACAAUGCAAUAACAUUCGUGGAGCAAGAACCCCUGCACUGCUGCUGCAUGGGGCAUAGAGACCAUAAAGAUAAUAUAUAUCAAAUAAAGAGAUUUUUAAAAGUAUAUGAUUAGAGAGUCAUUUGCAAGUUGUUUUUCUUACUGGCUUUGGAACCAGGUGUCAGUAGGUUUAAUCAAUGUACACUUAUUUGUUAGUGUGAUACUAGUGAGUCUUUAUUAUGGUAGAAGAGAAACACCUGUGACAGAAAAAAAAAAAGCACUGUAAGUACUUCAUCAUUUCAGCCACAGCUGCUCCGUGGCACUUGUGCUGAAUUGUAAGAGAUAGUAAAACCCAUAAUCAUUUUCUUCUUCUGCAGCUUCUAGCCAAAACACAAUUAGAGUGAAACGCUGGGCUUUGCAGAAAGGAAGAGGUGAAACCGUGACUCCCCGUGCCAUCCCCAGGGUGGGAUGGGGAUGAGAUUGAGGAUGGCAGCCCCCUGAGUGAGGAAUGUGGAGGACAACAUCGGGCCCAGGAGCACACACACAGUGAUAUGGUAGCAAAUACAUGACAAAUGAGUAAUAAACCUUUACAUAAGGUGUUCUGGUCCCAUCUCCAUCAGCAGGGCUCACACUGAAGUACAAAAUGGAACAAGAGGAGAGAAAGGUAUUGAGUCAGCUUUACCAUCGCAACGAUGGCAACACCGCCGAUCAUCAUGCAUGUGGGCCAGAAGAGCGAGUGGAACAGCACGUUGGAGCUGUACAGUUUGGUCAAUAUCACAUUCUUCUGAGUGCCCUCAGGAUCAUAGAAGCAGGAGAAGCGUUGAUACUUUCGGAAGUUUUCCAUCACAACGUUCACCAUCGACAUGGAUUCCUCGUAGUUCUUGCC